GAGAGAGGCGGGGGGGAAGGGGUAGAAAGGAGGGAGACCCAGAAUCCAAAGCAGGCUCCAGGCUCUGAGCUGUCAGCCCAGAGCCUGACGUGGACUUGAACCCACGAACCCAUGACCCGAGCCAAUGUCAGACGCUUAACCGACUGAGCCACCCAGGAGCCCCCAUUUUCACAGUGUUUUUAUUCAUGGCAGCUUCUGGCUGGUCACCACAUUCCUGAAAAAAAUUCUACAAAACAGAGCAUGGUUGACUAUUUCUUUUGGAUCAUCUGAACAAAGUACUCCUAUUAAUUAAUACAGCAUAAGACUAGGUUAGAUCCUCAAAGAUGUUCACAUGAAUUUUGUAAUACAAAAAUCCCUAGAUUUAAUCUUUGUGCUAAAAUAGAUUCUUUUUAUCCAGUUUUUGUUUGAAUUUCUGAACCAAAAUGUAGGGCUUCAGAUUUAACUUUGUGAAAAUUAAUGUUGCCAAUACAUUUUAGCACUCUCUGUAAGAUGGAGAUACUUUACAUUAUUUAAAGAAAGAUCACUUUAAAUCUUGUUGUAUUAUAUAAUAUAUGUAUUUCUCCAUCUCCUCUUAUUUGCACAUUCAGCUCAGUUAUUUUAAAAUAAAUUUGUGUCAAAGAUAAACAACAAAAUGAAUAUGCUCAGGAACUCUACAGUUGAGACUUCUCAUCAAGUUUAUACUCUGGCAUUAAUUCACAUUAAUUGAAUAUAGUUUUGAAUAUAAGUCCAAUUAAAUAUAUUAUUAUUCAGCCCAUGUUUUAUUCAGAGGUAUGAUUGGAAACUUUAUUGCUUCCUUUCUAAAAGAUAAUAAUAUCUGAAUAGCCAUCUCAAACAUAAAAUGACCCUAUUCAAUAGUUUUAGACAUAUUAGUUUUAUUUUCUGGAAGUUUGUUGGACUUUUUUUUUCCAUCAAAAUGUAAAGUCUUUAUAAGAGAUGUGUUAGUUAACACAGAUCCUUUAGAAAGGAGGGCCUGAGGAGCAGUCAAAGUGUUGCUGCCUAAAGAGGUACAAGCAUGUGUGUGUGGUAAGAUAAAGAGAAAAAAGGAACUGAGGCAAGGAACAGAGUGAGUGGAACAGAGCCAGUAGGUUUCUCAGUGGGCAUGUUUGCUUAAUAUUUAGUACUUCCCAGAAGAUUGUAAGGAGUAAUCCCACCUCAGUGCAUGGAAGAGAGUUAAAAGGGGGAAAUAUAUCUGCCUUGGUCUGUGUUAUUCCUGCUUUGUAUCAGUCAAGAUUCACCCACACUUACUCCCCAUAUCCCACCAGCUCAACUAUCUUGUCCUUCCAACUUUGUUCUCCCCUGGUAUAUCUGUGCCUGUCAGUACGUAGUUAGGAGGCAGCAAAUCUCAAACCUGGAAUUAAACCACAUGUAUUAGUCUGCUUAGGUUGCCAUAACAAAAUACCGUAGGCUGGGUAGCCUAAACAACUGAUUUCUAAAAGUUCUGGAGGCUGGAAAGUCCAAGAUCAGAGUGCCAACCUGGUCAGGUGGUGGUGACAGCUCUCUUGCUGGCAUGCAGAUAGCUACCUUCUUGCUGUGUCCUCACAUGGUAGGGGAAGAGACAGAGUCUGAAGUCUCUUCUUCAAAGGGUGCUAAUCUCAUGCUGAAGAUCCCACCCUCAGGGGUUCAAUAUGUGGGGACACAAUUCAUUCUAUAGCACCCUCCCCCUCAAAUUCAUGUCCUUCUUACAUGAAAAAUACAUUCAUUCCAUCCCAACAGCUCCAACACUUUUAGUUCAUUCUGUUAUCAACUCUAAAGUCUAAUAGAGUCCAAAGUCUUAUCUGAGUGUCUUUUAAAGCAGAUAUGGGUGAGAUUCAAGAUUCAACUAAUGCUAAGGCAAAAUUCUAAUCUAACUGUGAACCUGUGAAACCAGACAAGUGAUAUGCUUUCAAAACACAAUGGUAUUCCUAUUCCAAGUGGUAGAAAUGGGGAGGAGAAAAGGGGCAAUAGGUCCCAAGCAAGUCCAAGAUCUAACAAGGCAAAUUAUAUUAGAUCUCAAGGCUGGAGAAAAUCCUCUGGUUGGAUGUUCUGUCGUCUACACCCAGUAGGGUGACAGCAUACCCAUCCCGCCAUCACCACCAUGGCCCUUUGGGGCAGCCCUGUCCCUUUUGGUCAAUAUUGGGCAGAAAACAAUAGAAAUACAACACAUUGCUAAUGUGUAAAUUAAUAUAAUCUUUCCAGAGAACAACUUUGCAAUGCAAACCAAAAGCCAUAAAAUUUUGCAUAUCUUCUGGAGCAGUGACUUCAAGUGUAGCUAUUUAUAGUAAUAAUAUUUCUAUAGUUGCAUAAAACAUUAUAAUACAAGAAUGUUUAUCACAAUAAUUAUAUUAAAAUGAAACAUGUGGAAACCCCAAAUGUCAACAGAGAUUGAUGUAGUUACUCAGUAGCCUAAUGUGCAGACAAAAAGAAUGACAAUUAACAUCUUACUCAGACUAUUUAAUGUCAUGUAAGAAAUCCAAUGUAUAAUAUAUAAAUGAAGCAGGUUAUCAAACAACAUGUGAAAUUGUGGUAGAUGCUGUGUGUGUCACAGCCAUGUACCUUCACCCUCACUAUUUCAGUCUAUGCUUGCUCGACUUCUAAUUGCUGGAUUCUCCUUCUGUUUGCCUGAGUUUUCUUUGUCCAGGUGCUUAGCAGGCCAGAAUGCUAAAGAAUAAUGCUCCUGGAUGCAUACUUGCCCAAUAAUUGAUGGAGUUCAUGUACAAAUAGCCCAGGUCACACACUCUUUUGCUGAAGUGCUCCAUACUGACUCCCAGAGUUCCUCAUUGGGAUCAGAUCCAAGAAUCCACAGUGAUGACUUCCCAGCUGGAAUGGAGAUUUCAUGGGCCAUGUGCAUGAAUGAUCUCACUGAUGGCAGAGCAACAAAAUCAAGGGCCUGUGGCCAUCAGUGAGAUGGCUCAAUAGCAAGUUCAGCUUAUGUCUGAAUUUUGGAAAGCGUUCUCUGACUCUUUGAAUCUGUGCUGGCUGAUAACUCCAAGAAGCAGCUCUGGUCAUUUGAAUCAGGCCUGCCUAGACUCUGAAGUUUUUGGAGUGAGGAGAUAACAGGAGGAUGCUGUCCAUUCCAGUCCAUUCCAGCUAGUCCCUGAUAUUGAUGUGGGUGCUGUUUUGGCCUCAAUCCUGCCCUCUGCCUGUAUUCACUGAGUGGGAUUUCCCCACCAGAAACCUUGGCAUUCUCUGAGUCAUUUGGAUUUGGACUUACUUGUCCAGAAGUUUUAGUUCCUGGAGAACUUGAGAAGGACUCCUUCUCCAGUUGUUGGACUUUAUUCCCCCUGCUGCUGCUCCACACCACCACAGCUUAUUCAGUCACUGGACAGUUCUUGGUGAAGAAUGAUACUCCUUAUUGCAGCGUGCCCCUUCUGCCUUGGCAAAGACCCAGCACAUUCUUCCACCUGAUGGUUUGAUGAAAAACCAAGGUUCAAUAAGAAGCCCUUUGUCUUGGGGAAACUGAAUUUUCCUGCUGAGAUGGUAGACCAUACUUGGUUCUGUUUCCAGUUCGAAAUAGUGCCAUAUUUAUCAAACAACACUUUUAAGUAUCAUUUGAGAAAUGUAUGGGAUCUUCACUCUUCUUAUUUGUAAAUGAUGUAGUAUUUAAUAUAUCCAAAUGAAUUUAUACAAAUAAAUGCACAUUAUAAAGCAUAAUAAUUUGGAAUACAAAUAUAAUGGGAAAUCUUAUUUUAAUUUUUAUCCAUAUGAACUGUCCUGUUGCAAUGUAUAAAUGCAAGAAUAUAUCUUCAUGUAAAUAUUUUCAAU